CUUGGGGGCGUGCUAUACAUGCAAGUCGAACGCUUUGAUUUUCACCGGAGCUUGCUCCACCGAAAAUCAAAGAGUGGCGGACGGGUGAGUAACACGUGGGCAACCUGCCCAACAGAGGGGGAUAACACUUGGAAACAGGUGCUAAUACCGCAUAAUUUGUUUUCCCGCAUGGGAGAAUAAUAAAAGACGCUUCGGUGUCACUGUUGGAUGGGCCCGCGCUGCAUUAGUUAGUUGGUGGGGUAAUGGCCUACCAAGACCGUGAUGCAUAGCCGACCUGAGAGGGUGAUCGGCCACACUGGGACUGAGACACGGCCCAGACUCCUACGGGAGGCAGCAGUAGGGAAUCUUCGGCAAUGGACGAAAGUCUGACCGAGCAACGCCGCGUGAGUGAAGAAGGUUUUCGGAUCGUAAAACUCUGUUGUUAGAGAAGAACAAGUGGGAGAGUAACUGUUCCCACCUUGACGGUAUCUAACCAGAAAGCCACGGCUAACUACGUGCCAGCAGCCGCGGUAAUACGUAGGUGGCAAGCGUUGUCCGGAUUUAUUGGGCGUAAAGCGAGCGCAGGCGGUUUCUUAAGUCUGAUGUGAAAGCCCUCGGCUCAACCGAGGAAGGUCAUUGGAAACUGGGGAACUUGAAUGCAGAAGAGGAGAGUGGAAUUCCAUGUGUAGCGGUGAAAUGCGUAGAUAUAUGGAGGAACACCAGUGGCGAAGGCGACUCUCUGGUCUGUAAUUGACGCUGAGGCUCGAAAGCGUGGGGAGCAAACAGGAUUAGAUACCCUGGUAGUCCACGCCGUAAACGAUGAGUGCUAAGUGUUGGAGGGUUUCCGCCCUUCAGUGCUGCAGUUAACGCAUUAAGCACUCCGCCUGGGGGAGUACGGCCGCAAGGCUGAAACUCAAAGGGAAUUGACGGGGGCCCGCACAAGCGGGUGGGAGCAUGUGGGUUUAAAUUCGAAGGCAAACGCGAAAGAACCCUUUACCCAGGUCUUUGACAUCCCUUUUGACCCACUCUAGAGAUAGAGCUUUUCCCCUUUCGGGGG
rnacentral:rRNA from 1 species